rnacentral:lncRNA from 1 species
UUUGUGGGGCUUUGUUCCAAGAAAGCAUAAGUUCAUCAUGUGUGAAGAUACUGAAAUUGUGGCCUUCUCCAAAGACUGUGGAUUCCUCCAAAACAAAGAUUGUUGCCCUUCUGCUCUCAUGUGCCUCCUGAUGCCCUAGAGAAAACAGAAUUUUUGUAUUUUCUUCUACUUAUUCGCUAUUCAUAAUUUGUCUGUGUGUGUGUGUGUGUGUGUGUGUGUGUGUGUGUUGUGAUGUUUUGAAUUACAUUUGGUAUGAGUUCAGAGGUUCGUAGUCCUUAGCAGUAAACACAAUAUAGUUUCCUAGAAAAGUUCCUGCUGGUUUUUUUGCUUCCUUUUGCCCUAUAGCCACGUGCUUUAUGUUCUGGCUCAAGAAGAAUUGUUGCUUGAGAUAGCUCAAUGAAUUAAAUUUUUUUUUUUUUUUUUCUUAAACACAAAUAUCCUUUAGAAUCACAGAAUCACAUUUGUGGUGUAUUGUAUUGUUCCUAGAAGACUGGAUUACAAAUCUACAAGUAUCACUAGCCAGGUAACAGAAGUGUUUGGAAAAUGCCCAACAACUUAAAAUCCCCCAGUUUAAUAGAUUGCAAAUUAGAGAAAAGAAUACAUUGAUCAAUCUUUGCAAAGAUUGGUGCUGAAUCUCUGCUGCUUUAUUACUCCCACAGAAUUAUUUCACAAGACAUCAGUCAGGGUGAUCUAUUCUUUGAAACAACAGGGCUCAUCCCUUAGCCUUAACAAUUAAACAAAAUCAAAAAGGGAGUCUGAGGUGGAACACCAAGGGCUGUUUCCUUCAGUUUUCUUCUCUCAUUCUUCUUCUGCUGUGUGAGACUCUGUGAUUAAAUUGCAGGCUUGGGAGUCUGACAAUUUGUGCUGCAUUCACAUUUCUGCCACAAAGUUGGCAUUGCAGGAUGUAUGGCUUAGCUCAUGGACAUUUUUUCUUAUAAAUAUGUGAACAUUACAAUGUUUGCAAUUGCAUAUCUAAAUUAUGCACAUAGACAUAACAGUGACCAUACACGUAAAUGAGAUAUUUGCAGAUGCAAAUAGCUACUUAUGCACAUAACAGGCCAACAGAAACACACAGUUGUUGUAAUUAUACUCAUAAAAUAUAUGAAUGAAUGAACAGGCACGUUAUGAAAAUCAGACUG